rnacentral:rRNA from 1 species
UUAAGCGACUAAGCGUACACGGUGGAUGCCCUGGCAGUCAGAGGCGAUGAAGGACGUGCUAAUCUGCGAUAAGCGUCGGUAAGGUGAUAUGAACCGUUAUAACCGGCGAUUUCCGAAUGGGGAAACCCAGUGUGAUUCGUCACACUAUCAUUAACUGAAUCCAUAGGUUAAUGAGGCGAACCGGGGGAACUGAAACAUCUAAGUACCCCGAGGAAAAGAAAUCAACCGAGAUUCCCCCAGUAGCGGCGAGCGAACGGGGAGCAGCCCAGAGCCUGAAUCAGUGUGUGUGUUAGUGGAAGCGUCUGGAAAGGCGCGCGAUACAGGGUGACAGCCCCGUACACAAAAAUGCACAUGCUGUGAGCUCGAUGAGUAGGGCGGGACACGUGGUAUCCUGUCUGAAUAUGGGGGGACCAUCCUCCAAGGCUAAAUACUCCUGACUGACCGAUAGUGAACCAGUACCGUGAGGGAAAGGCGAAAAGAACCCCGGCGAGGGGAGUGAAAAAGAACCUGAAACCGUGUACGUACAAGCAGUGGGAGCACAGAGCAAUCUGUGUGACUGCGUACCUUUUGUAUAAUGGGUCAGCGACUUAUAUUCUGUAGCAAGGUUAACCGAAUAGGGGAGCCGAAGGGAAACCGAGUCUUAACUGGGCGUUAAGUUGCAGGGUAUAGACCCGAAACCCGGUGAUCUAGCCAUGGGCAGGUUGAAGGUUGGGUAACACUAACUGGAGGACCGAACCGACUAAUGUUGAAAAAUUAGCGGAUGACUUGUGGCUGGGGGUGAAAGGCCAAUCAAACCGGGAGAUAGCUGGUUCUCCCCGAAAGCUAUUUAGGUAGCGCCUCGUGAAUUCAUCUCCGGGGGUAGAGCACUGUUUCGGCAAGGGGGUCAUCCCGACUUACCAACCCGAUGCAAACUGCGAAUACCGGAGAAUGUUAUCACGGGAGACACACGGCGGGUGCUAACGUCCGUCGUGAAGAGGGAAACAACCCAGACCGCCAGCUAAGGUCCCAAAGUCAUGGUUAAGUGGGAAACGAUGUGGGAAGGCCCAGACAGCCAGGAUGUUGGCUUAGAAGCAGCCAUCAUUUAAAGAAAGCGUAAUAGCUCACUGGUCGAGUCGGCCUGCGCGGAAGAUGUAACGGGGCUAAACCAUGCACCGAAGCUGCGGCAGCGACGCUGAUGCGUUGUUGGGUAGGGGAGCGUUCUGUAAGCCUGCGAAGGUGUGCUGUGAGGCAUGCUGGAGGUAUCAGAAGUGCGAAUGCUGACAUAAGUAACGAUAAAGCGGGUGAAAAGCCCGCUCGCCGGAAGACCAAGGGUUCCUGUCCAACGUUAAUCGGGGCAGGGUGAGUCGACCCCUAAGGCGAGGCCGAAAGGCGUAGUCGAUGGGAAACAGGUUAAUAUUCCUGUACUUGGUGUUACUGCGAAGGGGGGACGGAGAAGGCUAUGUUGGCCGGGCGACGGUUGUCCCGGUUUAAGCGUGUAGGCUGGUUUUCCAGGCAAAUCCGGAAAAUCAAGGCUGAGGCGUGAUGACGAGGCACUACGGUGCUGAAGCAACAAAUGCCCUGCUUCCAGGAAAAGCCUCUAAGCAUCAGGUAACAUCAAAUCGUACCCCAAACCGACACAGGUGGUCAGGUAGAGAAUACCAAGGCGCUUGAGAGAACUCGGGUGAAGGAACUAGGCAAAAUGGUGCCGUAACUUCGGGAGAAGGCACGCUGAUAUGUAGGUGAAGUCCCUCGCGGAUGGAGCUGAAAUCAGUCGAAGAUACCAGCUGGCUGCAACUGUUUAUUAAAAACACAGCACUGUGCAAACACGAAAGUGGACGUAUACGGUGUGACGCCUGCCCGGUGCCGGAAGGUUAAUUGAUGGGGUUAGCGCAAGCGAAGCUCUUGAUCGAAGCCCCGGUAAACGGCGGCCGUAACUAUAACGGUCCUAAGGUAGUGAAAUUCCUUGUCGGGUAAGUUCCGACCUGCACGAAUGGCGUAAUGAUGGCCAGGCUGUCUCCACCCGAGACUCAGUGAAAUUGAACUCGCUGUGAAGAUGCAGUGUACCCGCGGCAAGACGGAAAGACCCCGUGAACCUUUACUAUAGCUUGACACUGAACAUUGAGCCUUGAUGUGUAGGAUAGGUGGGAGGCUUUGAAGUGUGGACGCCAGUCUGCAUGGAGCCGACCUUGAAAUACCACCCUUUAAUGUUUGAUGUUCUAACGUUGACCCGUAAUCCGGGUUGCGGACAGUGUCUGGUGGGUAGUUUGACUGGGGCGGUCUCCUCCUAAAGAGUAACGGAGGAGCACGAAGGUUGGCUAAUCCUGGUCGGACAUCAGGAGGUUAGUGCAAUGGCAUAAGCCAGCUUGACUGCGAGCGUGACGGCGCGAGCAGGUGCGAAAGCAGGUCAUAGUGAUCCGGUGGUUCUGAAUGGAAGGGCCAUCGCUCAACGGAUAAAAGGUACUCCGGGGAUAACAGGCUGAUACCGCCCAAGAGUUCAUAUCGACGGCGGUGUUUGGCACCUCGAUGUCGGCUCAUCACAUCCUGGGGCUGAAGUAGGUCCCAAGGGUAUGGCUGUUCGCCAUUUAAAGUGGUACGCGAGCUGGGUUUAGAACGUCGUGAGACAGUUCGGUCCCUAUCUGCCGUGGGCGCUGGAGAACUGAGGGGGGCUGCUCCUAGUACGAGAGGACCGGAGUGGACGCAUCACUGGUGUUCGGGUUGUCAUGCCAAUGGCACUGCCCGGUAGCUAAAUGCGGAAGAGAUAAGUGCUGAAAGCAUCUAAGCACGAAACUUGCCCCGAGAUGAGUUCUCCCUGACUCCUUGAGAGUCCUGAAGGAACGUUGAAGACGACGACGUUGAUAGGCCGGGUGUGUAAGCGCAGCGAUGCGUUGAGCUAACCGGUACUAAUGAACCGUGAGGCUUAACCUU